rnacentral:rRNA from 1 species
UUGACCUCGAAUCAGGUAGGGAUACCCGCUGAACUUAAGCAUAUCAAUAAGCGGAGGAAAAGAAACCAACAGGGAUUGCCCUAGUAACGGCGAGUGAAGCGGCAACAGCUCAAAUUUGAAAUCUGGCUCUUUUAGAGUCCGAGUUGUAAUUUGCAGAGGGCGCUUUGGCUUUGGCAGCGGUCCAAGUUCCUUGGAACAGGACGUCACAGAGGGUGAGAAUCCCGUACGUGGUCGCUGGCUAUUGCCGUGUAAAGCCCCUUCGACGAGUCGAGUUGUUUGGGAAUGCAGCUCUAAAUGGGAGGUACAUUUCUUCUAAAGCUAAAUAUUGGCCAGAGACCGAUAGCGCACAAGUAGAGUGAUCGAAAGAUGAAAAGCACUUUGGAAAGAGAGUCAAACAGCACGUGAAAUUGUUGAAAGGGAAGCGCUUGCAGCCAGACUUGCUUGCAGUUGCUCAUCCGGGCUUUUGCCCGGUGCACUCUUCUGCAGGCAGGCCAGCAUCAGUUUGGGCGGUAGGAUAAAGGUCUCUGUCACGUACCUCUCUUCGGGGAGGCCUUAUAGGGGAGACGACAUACUACCAGCCUGGACUGAGGUCCGCGCAUCUGCUAGGAUGCUGGCGUAAUGGCUGUAAGCGGCCCGUCUUGAAACACGGACCAAGGAGUCUAACAUCUAUGCGAGUGUUUGGGUGUCAAGCCCGAGCGCGUAAUGAAAGUGAACGGAGGUAGGAACCCGCAAGGGUGCACUAUCGACCGAUCCUGAUGUCUUCGGAAGGAUUUGAGUAAGAGCAUGGCUGUUGGGACCCGAAAGAUGGUGAACUAUGCUUGAAUAGGGUGAAGCCAGAGGAAACUCUGGUGGAGGCUCGCAGCGGUUCUGACGUGCAAAUCGAUCGUCAAAUUUGGGCAUAGGGGCGAAAGACUAAUCGAACUAUCUAGUAG